AGCGAACGCUGGCGGCAGGCCUAACACAUGCAAGUCGAACGAAGCCUUCGGGCUUAGUGGCGGACGGGUGAGUAACACGUGGGAACGUACCUUUUGGUUCGGAACAACUCAGGGAAACUUGAGCUAAUACCGGAUGAGCCCUUAGGGGGAAAGAUUUAUCGCCGAAAGAGCGGCCCGCGUUAGAUUAGCUAGUUGGUGAGGUAAAGGCUCACCAAGGCUACGAUCUAUAGCUGGUCUGAGAGGAUGAUCAGCCACACUGGGACUGAGACACGGCCCAGACUCCUACGGGAGGCAGCAGUGGGGAAUCUUGCGCAAUGGGCGAAAGCCUGACGCAGCCAUGCCGCGUGAAUGAUGAAGGUCUUAGGAUUGUAAAAUUCUUUCACCGGGGACGAUAAUGACGGUACCCGGAGAAGAAGCCCCGGCUAACUUCGUGCCAGCCGCCGCAGUAAUAC
rnacentral:rRNA from 1 species